GAGUGGAAGAGUGUUUGAUGGUUGGGGAGUGGUAGAGAACUAGGCAAAGAUGGUGGAAGAAGGUGGAGUGGCUGUUAUGUUUUCUAGGCACUAGAAUGGUGUUUUUGGGGUGUUUUGCUUCCUAGGGUGUGUAUGGACGAAUUUCUGUGAUAAAAUGAUGAAUAUGGGGGAUUGUCCUUUUGCCAAGGGGUGUAAACAUGUAUUUAUAGGCCCCAAAAACCUUGGAAAAUCAAGUUAGGUUAAGGAUGAAAUGCAUGGUAAUUUGUAUGUGUGGUGUGCAAUGGUCCAAGGGUGAAAAUGAAGUGAUGAUGCAAAGUGUGAAGGGUAAAAUGGAGUGGUCUU
rnacentral:lncRNA from 1 species